rnacentral:tRNA from 1 species
GAAGUUAUAGGUUAAGAAAUUUUAAACCUUUGGUCUUCAAAACCAAAAAUGAGUAUUCUAGCUUCG